AGAUAGUCCCUUCUACUAUGGUAAGAGCUGAUAUCCCCCACCCUUUUUCUAUCCUGGGCCUCUUUGCCAGACAAGUUGGCAAAGGGUGGUGUGGAGACCAGUGUAGGCAAAGCGGGGCGGUAGAUUCAACCUGUUUUUUGUGAGAGUUGCUCAGGGCCUCACUAAGUUGCUGAGGCUGACCUUGAACUUAGUGAUUCUCCCACCUCAGCCUCCAGAGUGUCUGGGAUUACAGGCAUGUGCCACCAAGCCUGGCUUCCUCAUAGUGUUUGACCUCAUCAAAUACUACAUGAUGUACUAUCUACUGGUUUCAUAUCUUUUCAUUGCCUGGAAUGUAAGUGCCGGGUGGGCAGGCAUUUAUUUAUAGUACUCCACCCAAGCAAGUGCUUAUAAACACCUUUUUUCUUUCUUUUUGGCUGGGGAAUGAACCCAGAACCUCCCACAUGUGCUCUACAACUGAACCACACCCCCAUCCCCAUAAAUAUCUUGUGAAUGAAUGUGAGUCCACAGGUUGAUGUGAGCUCAUUCUUUGUCCUCUCCUAACUAUCUCCACCUCAGACUGGGAAAGCCUGCAGCUGGGUGGGCUGAUCUUCGCAGGUCUCUUCUGUGUCGCUGGAUGUGCCAUGGCCCUGAGUGAGUGGUGGGGCUGUCAGAGUGGGAGAGUUGGGGGGAACUGACUCCAGCUGGCUCUCACACUGGCUCUUCCUCUCCUAGGUGGCAAAUGCAAAUGCAAGUGCAAUCAGACCCCCAGGUGAGACAGGGACACUACUGUGUGCACUUCCUGCUGAGCAGACUUAUUUCUUUUCUUUUCUUUCUUUCUUUUUCUUUUUCUUUUUUUCUUUUUUUAUGAGCAGACUUAUUAGGUG
rnacentral:lncRNA from 1 species